UGCGGGGUAGAGCAGAGGCAGCUCGUCGGGCUCAUAACCCGGAGGUCGUAGGUUCGAAUCCUGCCCCCGCUA
rnacentral:tRNA from 4 species